AUCUGCUAGGUGUGCUACACCUGUAUCUACCUCUUAUGCUACACCUGUUAUUUCUACAUGUGCUAUGCCUGUUACAUCUUCAGCAGUUACGUCAAUUCCAUCUGCACCACCUUCAAAUGGUUGGUUGGUUAAAUAUGAUCAUUUAAAUGAGAGAAUGUAUACUCGUGCAACUGAAUACAUGUAAACACGAGAAAAUGAAUACUCAUGCAAAUGUAUACUCGUGCAAUCUGGGUGUUAUAACAUCAUAACCACAUCUACGGCCAACUCUAAGAUCACCUUACUUUAUUUGGCAGUGUUCUGGAAUCAAGUUAUGGCAAUAUUUUAUGUAUAAAAUCUAACAAUUAUAUUUAAAAAGUGCUUAUUUCUGAUAAAAACUUGUAUUUUCUUAAGGGUUAGAUGGCGUUUCAUUACCCCC